AUUAUGUUUCGGGGGAGCCAAUGCUUUGGCUGAGAGGAAAUAAUUGAGUUUCGACCCUUAGAACCUGAACGGAUAAUGCCGGCGUAGGGAGAGUAAUAUCUAAAAAC
rnacentral:ncRNA from 2 species